GGGCGUAUGGCUCAGUUGGUUAGAGCGUUCGGUUCACAUCCGAAAGGUCGCAGGUUCAAGUCCUGCUACGCCCA
rnacentral:tRNA from 1 species